UACGUAGGUGACCAGCGUUGUCCGGAUUUACUGGGCGUAAAGAGCGCGCAGGCGGUCGUUCAAGUCGAGUGUGGAAGCCUCCGGCUCAACUGGGGAGGGUCAUUCGAUACUGAUCGACUUGAAGGCAGGAGAGGGAAGCGGAAUUCCCGGUGUAGUGGUGAAAUGCGUAGAUAUCGGGAGGAACACCAGUGGCGAAGGCGGCUUCCUGGCCUGUUCUUGACGCUGAGGCGCGAAAGCUAGGGGAGCAAACGGG
rnacentral:rRNA from 1 species